GGGGAUGUAGCUCAAAUGGU
rnacentral:siRNA from 1 species